rnacentral:RNase_P_RNA from 1 species
UGGGAUCCUCGGGGUAUCGCUGCUCGCCUUGCGGGUGGAGGAAAGUCCGAACUCCAAAGGGCAACAUGCUGGUUAACGGCCAGGCGGGGAAACCCGACGGAAAGUGCAACAGAGAGUAGACCGCCAAUCCGCUUCGGCGGUAGGUAAGGGUGAAACGGUGCGGUAAGAGCGCACCAGCACUCAUCGCGAGAUGGGUGGCUUGGUAAACCCCAUGUGGAGCAAGAUCAAAUAGGGGAGCGCGGCGAGUUUCGGCUUGCCAAGAGGUGGCCCGCCUCUGGUUUCCGGGUAGAUCGCUUGAAGUGGCUCGUAAGGGUCAUUCCAGAUGAAUGAUACCCACGUCCACGGGUUGUGGGCGUACAGAAUUCGGCUUACAGAGGAUCCCAGCUU